rnacentral:sRNA from 1 species
GUGCGUGAGCCAGGGACUCAGGCCUCAGACAGGGCUCUCCCUUGUAGUGAGCAGAGUGGCCCUGGCCCUUAUUUGAGGCGGUCACCUGGGUGCUGCUACUGCUGCCACUCCAGGGCUGCUUUGCGGAGCCACUGUCUUUGGGCUGUAGCUCUCACCACUCUUUCCCAGCAGGCGUGGGUUCUUAGACUUUAGUGGGCCACCUUUCACUGGAAAGCGUGCUUCCUUCCCAACAGAGCAAGCGGACCAACUUGAAGAAGCCCAACUCGGAGCGGACGGGGCACGGGCUGAGAGUCCGGUUUAACCCCCUGGCACUGCUCCUAGACGCGUCUCUGGAAGGAGAGUUCGAUCUGGUGCAGAGGAUCAUCUAUGAGGUGAGCUGCAGCCGGGGACCCGUGCACGCUGCUGGGGGCGAGGGGAUGGGCGCUCACAGGCCAUGUGUCCUAGGUGGAAGAUCCCAGCAAGCCCAACGACGAAGGGAUCACCCCACUGCACAACGCCGUCUGCGCCGGCCACCAUCACAUCGUGAAGUUCCUGCUGGAUUUUGGUGUCAACGUGAAUGCUGCUGAUAGUGAUGGAUGGUGAGGCCCAUAGGAGUGUGGGGUGGACAGAUUUACUUUCCCUGCUUUGCAUAAGGAAAACAGGCGUGUUCUAGACAAUUAGGAAGCACGGAAGAGAGAAUUAGAGCAAGAACACCCAUCAUUUCAUCCUUGAAAGACAGCUGUUGCCAGGGUUUCCUUGCCUUUUUUUCCAGCCUUUUCUCUUGAUGAUUUUGUUAAAAACGUGGCUGUGAUUAUGCUCUUUCUGUGCCUCAUCAUUAACACUGCAGUCUAAGCAUUCUGUGAAUCAUUCCGUCUUCCCCUUCUCAUAU